GUGGAUAGCUGCGAAGGUCGUGA
rnacentral:siRNA from 1 species